GUAUCGAUAUAAGAUAAUCAUCUACAAACAUUCAGCUAUAGAGAAAUACGCGUACACCACUAAGAAUGUCGGUGGUGCGCUCUCAAAGUAAAAAAAAUAACCUUUAAGUUCGGUACACUAAGAUAGAAUUGUCUAACAAGUACAAAAAAUAAACUACUUACUGGCUUACUUACUUCUUGCGGAAAAGGAAUUUUUGAUCUAUAAUACGAGUGGGUUAGGUAGUUGAAAUUUAUAGUGUGCAUUUUAUGGUUCCGUAGCCAAAAUGGCAAAAACCCUUACAGUUUCGUCGUUGUCUGUCCGUAUGUCACAGCUAUUUUACUCAAAAACUAUAAGAUAACCAAAAGAGAAAAGUGGAAAGUAGGUAUUUUUUAUACUACGUUGGUGGCCGGCCUGAAGGUAAGCUACUACUUAGUUUAGAAGUUCAAAUGUAUAAAAAUAUAAUUUUUAGGCACGCCAUACAUGUAACUAAAAGUGAAAAGGUUAUUCAAGUAAAAGAGUAUUAAGAUUUUUUUUAAGUAAGUGAGAUGGCAAAGGAGUCUUGCGUAGCCCGUCAUGCUAGCCCGAAAUGAUAUGAACGCUCUGACGUCGGGCUACAGCGGCGGCCUCAUAUUGAGAAAGUCGGGCGUAGCCCUUGUGCUAUGCGUGCUCUAAGGCCGAGGGUCCCCUCAUAACAAAUGAAUCGGGGGUAGCCUUACGUACCUAAGUAGCUUCCUCAUACUAAAAAGUCGUGCAGAAGAAGAUAACAAUAUAAUUUUUUCAAUAUGUCAAUUCCAGAUUUUCUGUGUUUUUUAAAUGUAUAGUAACAUGGCAGCAGUUUUCAUCUUUAGGGUUCCGUACCCAAACGGGACCCUAUUACUAAGACUCCGCUGUCCGUCCGUUCGUCCGUCCGUCCGUCUGUCACCAGGCUGUAUCUCAUGAACCGUGAUAGACAGUUGAAAUUUUCAAAGAUGACGUAUUUCUGUUGCCACUAUAACAACAUAGUAUUAUGUUCCUGCCGGUGAGUAAGGUUGCCAGAGCUCAACGAGGGGAAGGAGGGUUGUUAGGCUCGGCAACGCGCAUAUAAUUCCUCUGGAGUUGCAGGCGUACAUAGGCUAUGGAGACUGCUUACCAUCAGGUGGGCCGUAUGCUUGUUUGCCACCAACGUAGUAUAUAAAAAACCAAAUACUAAAAAAAUUACGGAAUCACGUUGGGCGAGUCCGACUCGCCCUUGUCCGGUUUUUGUAUUUAUUCGUAAGCUUGCAUUAAUUGCCAUGGCACUUUAGGCUUAGCUUGUAAGUACAGUCGAGGAAAUUGAUUCUUUAGCAGUUAACGUGUCACGUUACAAUGGACAGCUCUUACCAUAAGUAUGUACAGCCAAAUUUACUUGAACCGCAAGUUGCUAAAGAAUCAAUUUCCGCGACCGUACCUAUGCAAUUAUAUCUCUAUUAUGUGUUAUUAUAUAAUUACUUUUUUUAAGACCCUGGAUUUAUCUUAAGCGUAAACUAAUAACACACGAGAUAACAAUCAUUUCUCAAGAGCAUGUUCGUGAAUUGUACACUAAUUUACAGACUUUUUUGCUGAAGAGACGUCAAAUAUAUUUCUUUAUAAGUGUUUGUAAUUUGACUUGUAUGUAGGUUCUUAUAAACAUUAUACGGCGUGUAUUUUUGAUAUGACCAUUAUAAUUAAAGGGUAGUUAGUUUAGGCUGUAUGCUGUAUGCACACACUUUCAUAGGUUUUAUAAAAAAUGGUCUUCUUUUAAUUUUCCAUAUAAAAUCAUUCAGCAAGCAAUGUGUAACCAUUGUGUUUUAAAUCAAAAUGUAGCAUUUAAUGACGGGACGUCACAACUGUUACAAGUGACCAUGAUGUCCGAAUUUACGAAAUACAUUGCCGCUUGAAAACAUUACAAAAGUGAAUUAUGCACUGGUAGAGACUAAAUUAAAAAAAUCUUUCAGAAUUGUUGUAUAGCGCUAAAACCUACGUCUAGUUUAAAUUUGUGGUUGUAUCAAAAAUACGCAUUAUACCUAUGUAGGAGUUAUGAAGAUGCUAUAAUGCCGUAUAACUUUGAUACGUGUUUAAUAGACUCCUCUUUACUAUGAUCUAUAAAAGUAAAAAUUAAUAAGUAACUCUUUAUUUUGUCACUUUUUAUACAAGUUUGUACCAUGGUUGUAUUAUUGUACUACUUAUACGAAAUUUUUCUGUUUUACUGAAAAUGGUAGAUUUGUGUUUCCAUGCAAUUUUGCAGCUCGCUGUAGCACCUACAUGUAUAUACUAUGUAUAAACUUACGUUAUUCAUCAGCAGUAUCGGAGACAACAGAGUGCCUUCUAUUGGGCAUUCAUCAGCAUGUCGAGCACUGGACCUUUAUAGUUGAAAACAUAUUAUUUGCACCGAUAAAUGCUAUUUCUAAUGGCUCUUGUAAAAUAGGGUAAUAAAAUUUGCUUACUUGAGCUAAAUAAUGUUUACCGACUUACUUUUUUUCGUUUUAAUUUCUUAGUUUUCCUGGUUUACCAACUUUUCAAAUCAUAUUCUGGUAAAUUAAAUAAUAUAUUUAAACUCAAAAAGAUCCUGAAUGAAUAGUUAAAAAAAUAUUUGCAUAAUAAAUAACGUAUCUAUAUUAAUCUAGACACACAAAGUAUCAUAAUUAACUAUUCGUACUAUAUACUUUGCCGCUCUUUUAUCCCUUUGUAUUCGUAAAGAUACAGUUUUAUGACUAAUCAGUGCAAAUUAUAUUUCGUCAACUAUACCUUACCUAUUUUGUUUGUAACGGGUCACCAACAAUAAUUUUAUUCUAAUUAUACCUUUAGUAUUAUUUAUUAGUUUUCUACAUGAAAAAUGCAUUUUUCCGUAUACUCACUGAAUUAUUAAUAACACAUAUUGAAUGUUGUAUUUUUUGCUAAGCUAUAUUAGUAUUUCGGGCCUUGACUGAUGUCACAAAAUCGAAUACCAUUACUACGUCAUUAGAAGUCAAUACUCGUGUAUACGUUUGUGUGACAAAGACUAAUUAGCAGGAAAAGACAAAUGUGUAUUCCAUAUUGUAUCUAUUUAUAUACAUUACAUGUAUGUAUAGUAUUGUAUGAAAUAAGUAACUUUUUUGGGCGGAUUUUUAUUAUGUUGACAUUAUUUUCAAUUUUGUCAGAUAAACUGGUGUAUUAUAGGUGAUUCCCCCUCCUGUAUAAUAGAGACCUACGUGUACUAUGUCCUAAAAAUCUUUCUCUGAGUAACGAUAACGUAAUGGAAUUUUCGUAGCUAACUCAAUGGAAAUUCACAUAGGUACAUUUUUGUCCCAAAUUGAGAUUUCGUGUUUAUUUCAACCAGCAAGGCUCGAAACCGGUUUCCUUCGAAUUUUUAUAAGAACGCGAACGUUUUAAGAACUUUAUUGUAACCUGAAAAAACCAAUUUAAUCGACGAGCGACGAAACGACCGGCCGGCCUGUUGAUAUGCCACGUAAACAUAGACGCCGACAUAAGAAGAAGCCGGGUUUUUAUUGCUCUAAACCGGUUAAUUUGACAAGAACAGUUCUCAUAAAAACCGGUUUAAAAGAAACGGUUUUUCGAGCGCAAAAUGAAAAGGUUUUGCGCCAAGUAUGGUAUCAUAUACCAAGUAUGGUUUAGAAAUUUAACCGGUUUCCGAGCCUUGCCAACGAGAAUGAAGAGCUCAUCAAACCUAUCAAAAUCUAAAAAAAAACUUGACAAAAAAAAAAAAAACAAUUCAGCCCAUUUCCGUCCAUUCCGUCCAAAUUAUAAAAGUAUUCAAUUGGUACUUAAGGGGGGUCACGUAAGAAUUUUCAAGUUCAAGUCGUGACUGAAAAUAACCCACUUGUUGAAGAUGCGUCACGCCGCGUCUGGCAUUUCGUAAACAUCAACAUGCACAUCGUGCACGUCUGACGUCCGUCAUUUUUCUUUGAAAACCAAUGUCCUGGAUAUUUUCCUUAUUUAAAUGGUAUUAUUCUACGUUUAAGGUAAUUACGCAGUUGAAAUUAUUUGUUUAAUUCUCGGUUGCGAUUGGUCGUGGUUUGAAAAAAUUGUAGUGUACUUACUUAACUGUAAAAGAAUUACGAAUACAUAUAUGAACAAAAAAAAAAUUAAACAUUUGAGGAGAAUCUUACACAUAUCAACCCAGCCCCAAACUAAGCAAAGCUUGUGUACUAUAUGGGUACUAGGCGACUAUAAUACAUACUUAUAUAGAUAAGUACAUACUUAGAUACAUAGAAAACACCCAAAUAAAUCCCCUCACCAGGAUUUGAACCCGGGACCAUCGGCUUCAUGGGCAGGGUCACUACACUUACUACCCACAGGUCGGAAAAAUGUGUGCUUUAUAAAUGUGUAUUUUCGAUUUUUCAAGGAAAUUAAAUCGUAUAAAAGCUACCUAUUCAAUUAAGAAUAAUUUUAAUUUAUUAAACUACAAUGAAUUUAAGUUGCCGAUAAUAUUUUAAAUUUACUUUAAGUUGAUUUUCACUUUCAAAGUGUAACGUAAUGCUCGAGUUUUGAUACACAAAACGGUACAAGAGCAUAUUCAUGUCCAUAAGACAAAGUUUCCGAGUCAUUAUACAACAAAUAUUUUACGAAAAUUUGAAUCAUAUUGCUUCAUCGUAUCGUAUAAUCGCCUACAUUUCAAUUUAGGAACGACAAACGAGACUCCGCAAAGAAUCUGCAAUUCAAUUGCAAAGUGAGAUGUGGGAUUCCGAGUCGAGAAAUAAUUCCUGGCAGGAAGCUUGAUUGCUGCUGAGUCAUGACUGUCAUGCGAGUUCAUUUGAUCGCGGUACAUCGUUUAGUUUUUAACUUUUUAUACUCGUUUUCCUGACAAGGUUAUACUUACUCGUUUAAGAUAUACGCUUGCUUUUUAUGUCCCAGUCAUCCAAGACAACUACUAAAAUGACAGUUCUAUUAACCCGUGGAGCGCGUUAGUAUCACACGUGUGAUACUAACUCAUUUUCGGUCGUAGCGAUUCAUCUGACGUGUGUUACCACAGAUCAAUAUGGGUCCAAUUGCUUUGCAUCAAUUAGUUGUAUGUUGGUCGUUCAAUUUUAUCAAACAUCUUUUAUUGCAGCACAAAAUUGGAAUAAGGCUUAGAACGCACUGCCAUUAAUUUUUUGCGGUUUCAGUCUUAUUUCUUGGGCUUUCAGUCUUGCAAGUGCGUGCGUUUAUGAAGCAUGCCGUACGUUACACUUUUUGCGGUUCAAACCGCAAAAAAUUAAUCGCAGUGCGUUAUAAGCCUAAGAAGUGGGGGUUUGGUGAUAAAAUGGUCAUCGGGCAAUCGAAUUGUCGUUUUAGCAUUUAGGACAUACCUAAAACCAACUAUUUGAUCCAGUAGUUAAGACAAAAUAUGGAGGUGACAUUUUUAAGGGAUUUAAAUAUUCAAUUACAAUUUGCAGAUUUUAAUUUACUUAGUUGAAGCGACUAUAGUUCGUGCCAUUCACGAUGACGCGCAGAUUUGUUUAAUCUACCCUUUAAUACAAUGACAAUACGAAUCAAGGCACGCGGCGUCGAACGACACCAUCUAUACAAUGCUUUAUUAUAUUAAGUCCAUUUGGUUUAUUACAAACUUCGAUAACAAAAGGAAGUGAGACAUUAGUGUAAUAAAAACACAAUUAUUAUGUGAUAAAGUUUUCCUGGUCCAAUUUUAAGUUACUUAUAAAGAGUAAAUUCUACAUUAGCUGAUAUUUCUAUGAAAUACCGAGUACAGUCACGGUCUUUAAUUGCUGAGCUAAUUUACUGUAAGUAUUAAACAACCAAAUUAGCUAACGUGACCGUACCUAGAUAUUAUACGUUUAACUUGAAUCUUACAACGUAUAUAAUAUAUAAAUUAAUCUAUAUAUAAGUUUAUCUAUAUAUAGUUUUUUCAUAUAUAGUCUCGGUUACAAAUUCAUUUACUUAAAAGACACUGCACCUAUCUUUCUGGUUUAACCCAUUGGUUGACUGGUAGAGAAUGCCUUAAGGCAUUAAGUCCGCCAUUUGUACCUUCAUGUAUUGUGCAAUAAAGAUUAAAUAAAUAAAUAAAUAUAUCUUGGCUGACAAACGAAACAAUUGAAUGCAAAUUCGUCAUCCUUAUCAAUGCAAACAUAAUUUUGUAGCAUUUACUCGGUUUUGGUUCGGUGUAGUCAUUUCAAAGUCAACUCUCCGUGGUAAUUACAAACUAUGACUAAGUCACACAAUGUCAAGCAAUCUACUGAAAAGAAAAAUUAACAUAUAUUGCGUGCCUAUGUAUACCUGGUCUCAAGUCAAUCAUUUGAAAAUAUUAUCUUUUCAGGACAGCUUAUUUGCAAACCGGUGGUAGUUUUGACUUACAUAAAUGCAGUAUGGGAACGAUUUUAUCGAGUCAGAUUUCAAUGCGGAAAAGAAGAUAAAGAAAGAUAAAGGUAGUUUGUUUUUCAAGUAGGCAUAUUACAAUGCGCUUAUGAACGUCAAAUAAAGCUACACCGGCUCUAACCCUACACCUCUGACCCGAGAAGAUUUAAAUCCCUCCUAAAUUGAUGGAGGGUAUCCCAAUAUGGGACCGGCAAAAAACUCGGCAAAGGAGGAUGUUGUAGGUAUAAUUAUUUAUUAAUAAACAAAUAUUGUAGAGAAUAAAGAAGUGACAAAGUGUUUAAGAUUAUUAGAUUAAAAUGUGAAUUGACAAAUACAUAUGUAUUUACCACCUAAUGUAACAUGAAAUUUUUCAUAUGGAAUGGAACGUUUGGUAUAGUUUGUCAUCCACGAUGACGCGCAGAUAAUAUAACCUUUAAUAACAUGACAUUACGAAUCAUGGCAGGCGUCUUCGUGAAUGACACGAUAUAUAAAUUGUCAACUGUCGAUGUCGCGCAAGCGAGUACCUUACCCGUGAACUAUAUUGAUCAGGGGGCUUACCCCGAAAACCGAAAUCCGAAAUUCACAAAUUGCGGGAAUCUUUCUCUUUUACUCUCACUAAGACGUGAUUAGAGUGACAGAGAAAAAUGCGGUUAAGCCCAGAAAUCGUAUUAAUUCACAAGGUCGAAUUGGACACAAAUGAAAUCAGAAAUCACUUGUGGAUUUCUUAGUAGUAGUAAGUAAUUAUAGUGAUGGGUUGUGUGAUUGUUAUUAUUUACUGUUAAUUUUAUAUUUUCAAUUUACCUACAAUUAAGACAAAGUGUAUUUGUACCGUUUAGGUAUUAUUUUGUACUCUGAAUUAAAAUAGUUAUAUGAUAUGA